GACGAACGCUGGCGGCGUGCUUAACACAUGCAAGUCGAACGCUGAACCCGCUUCGGUGGGGGAUGAGUGGCGAACGGGUGAGUAACACGUGGGCAACCUGCCCCCGGCUCUGGGAUAACUCCAAGAAAUUGGGGCUAAUACCGGAUGUGACCGCUGGCCGCAUGGUCUGGUGGUGGAAAGGGUUUCCGGCUGGGGAUGGGCCCGCGGCCUAUCAGCUUGUUGGUGGGGUAGUGGCCUACCAAGGCGACGACGGGUAGCCGGCCUGAGAGGGUGACCGGCCACACUGGGACUGAGACACGGCCCAGACUCCUACGGGAGGCAGCUGUGGGGAAUAUUGCGCAAUGGGCGGAAGCCUGACGCAGCGACGCCGCGUGGGGGAUGACGGCCUUCGGGUUGUAAACCUCUUUCAGCAGGGACGAAGCGCAAGUGACGGUACCUGCAGAAGAAGCACCGGCCAACUACGUG
rnacentral:rRNA from 1 species